UUUCCGGCCACCGGCGUGACGCAGCGUAGAGGCGCAGGCGCAGUCACUUAUGCAGUGCGCACUUCCUGUGAGGUUUCCUGCGGCCAUCUUGUACGAGUCUUGGGAUGCAGCCAUGGUAGAGACUAGAUCCCCUUCGGUUUCAGUAACUGAAGAGGAACUAGAUUAUUUAUUAUAAACCCUGUAUUUCCCCUUGUGUUUAUGUACGUUUUUGUCCCCUGCUGUUCAGAUACAGAAUUAGAAGUGGAUCUAGCUCAUUGUCUUUAAAAACAGUAAUUCCACUUCAGUUAAUGUUACAGCUACAUCAACUGCACGGGAAAUGGCAUACGCCGCCUACAGGUCAGGAAUGGAAUUAGAAGUGGUUCUAGCUCAUUGUUUAUAAAAACAAUAAUUCCACUUCAGUUAAUGUUUCAGCUAUAGCUACUGUAGGGGAAAUAGCAUACGCCGCCUACAGGUCAGGAAUGGAAUUAGAAGUGGAUCUAGCUCAUUGUUUAUAAAAACAAUAAUUCCACUUCAGUUAAUGUUACCGCUACAUCUACUGCACGGGAAAUAGCAUACACCGCCUACAGGUCAGGAACGGAAUUAGAAGUGGAUCUUUCUCAUUACAUGAUAUUUGGUACACUUAUAAAGGAGUAUCCCCUCUAUCAUUGUACCAAAUAUGGGGUGAAUCGGUCCGGUAGAACCGGAGAUAUGUAGGGCUAAACAUGGCAAAUUUUUGGCCCACUUAGGGAACUAGAGCGACUGUAAGCUUCAGCCGGUGUCUUGGGAACUUGUACCAAAACAGAAAUCUCUACUUGGAAAAAAGCACCUCAACUUCUUCCGACCGGUGCAUUAGAUGUUUUUGAAUCCGGGGAACGACCCAGUCCCGGUUGGCUUAAUAGUCCGCAUAUCCCAUUGCGGUGCUGUUCAGCUGAGGCCAACCUAGGGAACCAGAGUAUUUGUGCCCUUGAGCCGGUGUCCUGGGAACUUGCGCUGAAACAAAACUCUGUACUUAGAAAAAAGCACCUCAACAACUUCCGACCGGUGCAUGGGUGUGUUUGAACCCUGGGGGGUCGCAGUCCCGGAGGGCUUAAUAGUCCAGAAAUUAGGGGGUGGCGGGAGGCCCAGUCCCUUCCAGUGUACCGAUUUCCCCCAAACUUCGCCCAUUUCUAGAUAGACAUCAUGGGGGCAUGUCUGGCAAUUUUGGGGUGAUUCUGAUUUAUGGAACAUGAUCAACCGACCGGAGAACCGCAAGGACUUUACCCCGUCAGAGCCCCCGGGUAAGUCAAUGGCAAAGUACCGGUGCCUGGAUGUCCUAGAUCUCCGGUUCUGGAGGAGUUAUUUACAUGAAAUUUAGACAGGUAGAUGAGUAUCCUCUCUAUCAGUGUACCAAAUCUGGGCUGAUUUGGUCCAACAGAAUCGGAUAUAGACCAGCAAAGUGACGUUUCUCUACCCGGGAGAGGACGGGUUAAGCCCUGCCCAAGUACUGCUGACUGGAAGUCAUGUAUCUCUGGUUCUAGAUAAGCUAAAUACUUUCAGAACCGAAAAAUAUAGACCGACAAAGUCACCAAUCUCUACCCAGGCACAGCCUGGGUAAAGUCAAUGGGAAAGUACCAAUGCCUGGAAGUCCUGUAACUCUGAUUCUGAAGGAGCUAAUUACAUGAAAUUUGUUAGACAUCUAAAUCCCCUCUACUAACGUACCAAAUCUGGGGUGAUUCGGUCCAGCAGAACCGGCGAUAUAGACCAGCAAAAUGGCCUCUCUCUACCCGGGAGAGGACGGGUUAAGUUCUGACCAAGUACCGGUGACUGGAAGUCCUGGAUCUCCUGUUCUGGAGGAGGUUAAUUUGGUACACUAAUAGCAAAGUAUCCCCUCUUCUAGUGUGCCCAAUUUGGGAUAAAUCGAUCUGGUAGAACCGGAGAUAUAGACCAUUAAAGUUACCGCCACUCACUUUUCCACAGAAAUGCAUUGGAUGAAAGAUAGGCCCCAACCGCAUCCUGCCUCGAUUUUGCUCAUUCCCUGGGAUAUAUUGGUUUCGGUGUAAUUUGAAAGCGGAAUAUUUCUGCUUUUAGGGGAAACCAGAACCAAGUUUCUAUGUGCCCGGGAUUAAAGGUUAAGACCUGUUAAGUAAGCAAAAAAAAGCUUUGCCAUUGUAAGUCAAUCGGACCGAAUGGACCGGAUUUGAGCCCGAAAUAUAUCCGGUUCAAAGAAAGUUAUUAGAAAAUGGAGAGAUACGUUUUGAAGAGGGGGAGCUCAGCUUUCAAACCCCAUAUUUGUAGACCUUCAGGAACCAGAGCUACACAAUUUGAAAACCCAAGUUAAUUUUGAACUGCGGUUCUGCAACUUUGAGCUUGAAUAUCUCCGGUUCUGGAUGGGCUAGAUUUCAAUGGUUCCUGAAUCCCCAGGGUCCCCUCUUUCCAACGAGCCCCUUCUCAUAAUUUUAGGGUGCACGGGGGCGGAACGCGGUCAAAUCGCCACUCGCUAGUCCGGUUUCCAAAGUGAGGACUUGGUCAUUUUUUAAACUUUUGGCCAGUGGGUCAACUUUGAACGGUUGUAUCUCCGGUUCCCGAGUACGUAGAGACAUGCGUUCAGUAUCCCCUGAUAGCUUAGAGUCCCCUUUAAUUUAAGAGUCUACAACUGAAUAUAUAACCCUAAAGUUGGAAGAGAUAUCAGAGUUCAACCGCAAAUUAACGGGUCUCAUUAAAGUCUAUGGGGAUUUUGGUCAAGUUUGAACAGUUGUAUCUCCGGUUUCUGUGGUCUUUAAAAAAUCCAAGAUAUGUUUUGUAGCGCUGGAUCUCUUCUCUCAGCAUACCAAUCUGCUUGUAUAUAGGGGGUCAUUCCGAGUUGAACGCACGCUGCAUCUUUUUGCAGCCCGUGUGAUCAACUAGACGCCGCCUAUGGCUUUCUUGCAUAGCAAGGCUGCGAUCACUUGUGCAUCCCUGCUGUGCAAAUAAAGUUUUGUGCAGAAAAAGACCAGGGUAUGAGUUACUUACCCUGUGUGAUGAAUCCAGCGUUGAUGGUCCUGGAAUUGACGUCAGACAUCCGCCCUCCAAACGCCUGCGUUCGCCGCCCCACUCCCAAAAAACGGUCAGUUGACGCCCCGGAACACCUUCCUCCUGUCAAUCUUCUUGCGGUCGUCACUGCGACCGCUUUCUUCACUAGCAGUGUCAUUGCCUGGCGACGCCGGGCAAUGACGCGCCUGCCCAAUGCAGCCGCAGCGCAUGCGCCUUUCCGACCCGAUCGCACAGCUGCGACGAAGCACAGCGUGUGAUCGGGUCGGAAUGACCCCCAUAGACUCCAAAGAACCUUCUAUAGUGAUUAUACGUUUUGUAGCCCUGGAUCUCUUCUCUCAGCAUACCAAUCUGCUUGUAUAUAGACCCACAAGGAACCGGAGCUACACUGGUUGGAAGCCGGUGACCAUAACAGUGAACUGCUCCAUUAUAGUCUAUAGUAAUUCUAUGUUUUGUAGCCCUGGAUCUCUUCUCUCAGCUAACCGUGAACCGCUCCAUUAAAGUCAACUUUGCCCUGUUGCAUCUCCGGUUCCAGGGGGUCCAUAAAAAAAAUAGGAUUUUAAUACCUACCGGUAAAUCCUUUUCUCUUAGUCUGUAGAGGAUGCUGGGGACCCCAAAAGCACCAUGGGUUAUAGACGGGAUCCGCAGGAGACAUGGGCACACUAUAAGACUUUGAAUGGGUGUGAACUGGCUCCUCCCUCUAUGCCCCUCCUCCAGACCUCAGUUAUAGGAACUGUGCCCAGAGGAGACGAACAUUUCGAGGAAAAGGAUUUUGUUAAACUAAGGGUAAGAUACAUACCAGCUCACACCACACCACACUAUUGUAAACGUCGAUUUACAUAUAGGACUAAAAGCAACACUUUAAAAACAUUAAAUACACUUUAAAAUGGAGCCGCUGCGGCCGCUUGUGAUCAAACCUUAGCCUACGUACUUUUUACACCGUUAGCGUACAAAGCCCCGUGCCGUGUACGUACUUUGCGUACAAACGCCGUGCUGGCCGUACAAAGUACAUGCAGUGAGUACACACCCAAAGACACGCCGUGAGCACUCUGCAGCUACAUGUGUGACUGAAAUACACAUAACCUUAGCAUGGAAAAGAGACACGACACCAGAUUGUAUUUAAGAUGCUGGGUUCCGACACAACAUAUAAUUGCUGAAAGGGGGUUACAAUAACAACAAUACAAUACAAUAGAAAAAUGGCUACAGUCAAUGGUACAUACGUUUUGGUUUCGCCUGCGCUUCCCGGCCCGGUCCUCAGUCAUCAAGGUAGAUGACCUUCAGAGUCUGUGUGUGACCACGCAUACAGCUGGCUUUUUAUACAAUAGUCCAAAACCUAACACAAUGGAAACUGUAAUCUUUGUCCAUUGGACACAGGGAUGGUCAUUUACAGUAUAGGAGAGGUCAUAGGUUGGUUUGAAUAGGUGGGCGAUGUCUGUUCCAGGUGCACUUGCAGAUGGUCUCCUCUGGGUUCCUGCUGCAUACCAAGUGUACAGUAAAUACAGUUAAUAUUUAUAUUCUGCUCCUGCUCAGAACUAUUCGCAGGAGCGUGCGAUCUUCUGCAAACCAACACCGGAAUAUUGCUCUUAAAAUACCCUACAGCUGGAUACCAAACACCACCUUAUAACCUAGUUCUGUCCCCUCCUAUCUUGUAAAGGUGAAUCCCUUUGUUCUGAUACCAUUUAAACUAGUGUAAUUUGCUGGUGUGGUGCAGGGAGACUAUGGGGUACAGGUUGAGUAUCCCAUAUCCAAAUAUCCGAAAUACGAAAUAUUCCGAAAUACGGACUUUUUGAGUGAGAGUGAAAUAGUGAAACUUUUGUUUUUUGAUGGCUCAAUGUACACAAACUUUGUUUAAUACACACAGUUAUUAAAAAUAUUGUAUUAAAUGACCUUCAGGCUGUGUGUAUAAGGUGUAUAUGAAACAUAAAUGAAUUGUGUGAAUGUACACACACUUUUUUUAAUGCACAAAGUUAUAAAAAAUACUGGCUAAAGUUACCUUCAGGCUGUGUGUAUAAGGUGUAUAUAAAACAUAAAUGCAUUCUGUGCUUAGAUUUAGGUCCCAUCGCCAUGAUAUAUCAUUAUGGGAUGCAAUUAUUCCAAAAUACGGAAAAAUCCGAUAUCCAAAAUACCUCUGGUCCCAAGCAUUUUGGAUAAGGGAUACUCAACCUGUAUAUGCAAUUGCGGUCAAAUUGCCGCGAAAGUCGAAAAACGGGGCAUUUUCGUCAAAAAAACAUGUCGAAUUGGAUUCGACAAUGCAAUACAGUACUUUUCGUCAAAAUACCUGCCGUUUCAGAUUCGACUUUUUGCAAAUCGACAUUUUCAAAAUUCAACAUGUCUGCAAUGGUCAAAAUGCGGCUUUUCGACAAAAGUAUAUUCAAUUGAAGAUUGUCGAUUCGACAACAGUGCUUUUCAACAGAAAUUUCGUCAAUUUCAUUCCGCCUCACUUUGCUGGCGGAAUCUAAUAAAAAUAUUUAAAAACAUGUUCUUUUUUUUUUUUUUUUUUAUUGCUAAUAGCAUAUCUAUUUUUAUUAGAAGGGAUUAUGUACUUGGAUUGUCUAUUUUUGACUCACAAGUAUUUUUUAAUAGAUUUUUAAAAAGAAUAUUUUUUUCUUCACUCUGCUGAGGGGAAUGUACCCAUGCUUCAACAGUUUUACCCAGGAUACACUUCUGCAAAACCACUCCAGUAUUGGACCAGUUUACCCCACUCCACCAUGGAUGUCCUACUUGUGAUGUGGACCUGAACCACCGCCAUGAGUCACUCUUUCAGGUCUUGCGGAGUAUCCUUCAAGGUGCAGGAACCGGCGUGGAUGAAGGGACCGGACAGUUCCCGUGCUGUACCAUGGGCGACCUACUUGUGAUGUGGACCUGGACCUCCGCCAUGUAGCAGACCCCCCCCCCCCUCAGGUCUUGCGGAGUAUCCUUCAAGGUGCUGGAACCAGCGUAGAUGAAGGGACCGGACAGUUCCCCUGCUGUACCGUGGGCGACCUACUUGUGAUGUGGACCUGGACCUCCGCCAUGUAGCAGACCCCCCCCCC